UACGAAGGGGGCUAGCGUUGCUCGGAAUCACUGGGCGUAAAGGGUGCGUAGGCGGUCUGGUAAGUUUGGAGUGACAGUGCUCGGCUUAACUGAGCAAGGCCUUCGAAAACUGCCAGACUUGAGCACUCAAGAGGGACAUAGAAUUCCGGGUGGAGUGGUGAAAUGCGUAGAUAUCCAGAGGAAUACCAAAGGCGAAGGCAGUGUCCUGGGGAGUGUCUGACGCUCAGGCGCGAAAGCUAGGGGAGCGAACAGG
rnacentral:rRNA from 1 species